GAUGAACGCUAGCUACAGGCUUAACACAUGCAAGUCGAGGGGAAACGAUAGAGAAAGCUUGCUUUUUCUAGGCGUCGACCGGCGCACGGGUGAGUAACGCGUAUCCAACCUGCCCACCACUUGGGGAUAACCUUGCGAAAGUAAGACUAAUACCCAAUGAUAUCUCUAGAAGACAUCUGAAAGGGAUUAAAGAUUUAUCGGUUAUGGAUGGGGAUGCGUCUGAUUAGCUUGUUGGCGGGGUAACGGCCCACCAAGGCGACGAUCAGUAGGGGUUCUGGGAGGAAGGUCCCCCACAUUGGAACUGAGACACGGUCCAAACUCCUACGGGAGGCAGCAGUGAGGAAUAUUGGUCAAUGGGCGAGAGCCUGAACCAGCCAAGUAGCGUGCAGGAUGACGGCCCUAUGGGUUGUAAACUGCUUUUAUAAGGGAAUAAAGCGAGUCUCGUGAGACUUUUUGCAUGUACCUUAUGAAUAAGGACCGGCUAAUUCCGUGCCAGCAGCCGCCGCAG
rnacentral:rRNA from 1 species